AUUUAGUAAACUUCCAAAGCAUAGAGAACUAAUAACAACUUUUUAUUCUUAUUUUUGAUGGUGAAAGAUUGGGCACUCAUGGAUGGCCUUGAGUGACAGUGAAGUUCUCAGUGUAUCUUACCUUUCCGCCUCAUGCUGGUGACCCAUGCAUGUCUCUAGAGAGGCAGGCUAGUCUCAUGAUGCCCGUGUGACCUGGGAACAAUGUCUUUAAAACCCUUCCUGAUCUAUAACAGAUUCUAUUUAUUGAGCACAUGUUGUAUGCUAAGAGUUUUACUAUAUGUAGUCUUUCUCUUGCUCUCUCUCUUCUCUCUCACACUAUAGAAAUUUUCAAACAGACAGAAGUGGACAGAAUGGUAUAAUAAGCCCCUAGGUGCUCAUCCUCCCACUUCAGUAAUUAUCAAUCCAUGGCCAACUUCUUUUGUGCAUACCUUACCUCCAGGUUAUUUUGAAGCUAAUCUCAGAUAUAGUAUUUGUGAAUAUUUGAGAAUCUGAUUCUAAAAGAUAAGGGCUCUUAUUAUAAUUUCUUACACUUCAAAACAAUCCCAUUGGUGAGGUACCAUUUUCAUCUCUGUUUUUACAGAUGAGGACCAUGAGACCCAUGACUUGCCCAGGUCACCCGACUUGUAAGAGGCAGAGACAACAUGCACACCCAAACUGCCUAACUCCAGAGCCUGUCCUGUGCCCUAUGGUCGUCACUGGAUCCCUUCUGCUGUAGCUAAUCCUCAAACUAUAGAACUGGAUCCUGGGACUAUAAGCAAACUCCCAGGGACAUGACUAUUGAUUUCCAUGAAUUCAGCCACCCCACCAUUGCUGCAAAUUGGGUCUUAGGUACAAAGGCAAUGAAU
rnacentral:lncRNA from 1 species